AUUGAACGCUGGCGGCAGGCCUAACACAUGCAAGUCGAACGAGUGGCGGACGGGUGAGUAAUGUCUGGGAAACUGCCCGAUGGAGGGGGAUAACUACUGGAAACGGUAGCUAAUACCGCAUACCAUCGGAUGUGCCCAGAUGGGAUUAGCUAGUAGGUGGGGUAAUGGCUCACCUAGGCGACGAUCCCUAGCUGGUCUGAGAGGAUGACCAGCCACACGGGAACUGGGAAACGGUCCAGAAUCCUACGGGAGGCAGGAGUGGGGAAUAUUGGACAAAGGGGCCAAGCCCGAUAGCGGCAUUCCGCGUGUAUUAAGAAGGCCGUCGGGGUUUAAAGGACUUUCAGCGGGGAGGCGGUACCCGGAGAAGAAGCAACGGCUAACUCCGUGCCAGCAGCCGCGGUAAUUC
rnacentral:rRNA from 1 species